UCCUACGGGGGGCAGCAGUGGGGAAUUUUGCGCAAUGGGGGAAACCCUGACGCAGCAACGCCGCGUGAGUGAUGAAGGCCUUCGGGUCGUAAAGCUCUGUCAGAGGGAAAGAAAUGCGGGUGGCUAAUAUCCAUUCCGCUUGACGGUACCCUCAAAGGAAGCACCGGCUAACUCCGUGCCAGCAGCCGCGGUAAUACGGAGGGUGCGAGCGUUGUUCGGAAUUAUUGGGCGUAAAGCGCGUGUAGGCGGUUUUUUAAGUCUGAUGUGAAAGCCCCGGGCUCAACCUGGGAAGUGCAUUGGAAACUGGGAGACUUGAAUACGGGAGAGGGUAGUGGAAUUCCUGGUGUAGGAGUGAAAUCCGUAGAUAUCAGGAGGAACACCGGUGGCGAAGGCGGCUACCUGGACCGAUAUUGACGCUGAGACGCGAAAGCGUGGGGAGCAAACAGGAUUAGAUACCCGUGUAGUCCC
rnacentral:rRNA from 1 species